CAAUAGCGUAUAUUUAAGUUGUUGCAGUUAAAAUGCUCGUAGUUGGAUUUCUGCUAACCGCUGUCGGUCUGCCUUUCGGUGUGUACUGGCAGCGUUUGGCAUCUAUUCGAGAUUGGGCGUCCACUUGAUUGUGUGCGCUUGAUUUCGGAGCUGAUACUUUGAAAAAAUUAGAGUGUUCAAAGCGGACUUACGCUUGAAUAUUUCAGCAUGGAAUAACACUAUAGGACUCCUGUCCUAUUUCGUUGGUCUCGGGACGGGAGUAAUGAUUAAGAGGAACAGUUGGGGGCAUUCGUAUUUCAUUGUCAGAGGUGAAAUUCUUGGAUUUAUGAAAGACGAACUUCUGCGAAAGCAUUUGCCAAGGAUGUUUUCAUUAA
rnacentral:rRNA from 1 species